ensembl:lncRNA
GGGGUGAACCAGGACCCCCAAGUGAACCCCCUAAAUGCGCCCCUGUGCCACCGCCACGUGCGGGACGCCCCAAUCCUCCUGUCCCCUCCCCGACCCCCAGUCCCUCCCAGUCCCUCCCAGUCCCUCCCAGUCCCUCCCAGUCCCUCCCAGUCCCCCCCUCCCCGCGGGGUGCCGGGGGCGCGGGCGCUUCCCGCUGUACCGGAUCCCACCGGAAUUCCCGGCUGGGCCGGGGCAGCGGGACGGGACGGGCCGGGCCGGGCCGGGGGGCGCCCGGGGGGCAGGGAGCGGUCGUGACCGCCCCCGUGGUUUCGUGCCCGGUGCCCGCCCGGGCUGCUCCCGGUGCUCCCGGUGCUCCCGGUAUUCCCGUACCUGCGCGGCCGGGGCCGGGGGGCAGCAGCAGCCCCGGCGCAAUUCCAUGUCCAGCGCUGACCCCCGCGCCACCGUGGCGCGGCUCCGCUCGUCCCGCCGGAACAUGGCCGGGGGUCCCGGCGGUCCCGGGGGUCCCGGGGGGUUCGGAGGGUUCGAGGCACCCCGGGGUCCAGAGGUUUCUGGAGGGUCCCGGUCCUCCCAGGGGUCUUGAGGGAUGCCGGGGUUUGGAGUGUUCCGAGAGGUCCCGGGGGGAUCCCGGAGCCUCGGUGCGCUGGAGAUUUGUGGGGGUGUUCCCGGUGUCCGAGGUGGUCGCGGUUCUCUGGAGCCCCGCGGGGUCCCGGGUGUCCGGAGCUUUCCGGGGGUUCCCGAGGUCGCGGCAAUCCCGGGAUUUUGGCGGUCCCGGCGCUCCGGGUGUGGAGGGGAGGUGACGAAGGGAAUCCCGGUGUCCGGAGCGUUCUGUUCGUUCCCCGGAGCUCUCCCGGUGUGAGACACCGGGAUGGACGAACGGGGAGACGCCGGGGUCGCUCCUCCCGGCCCCGCGCAGCUCCGGGAUGCGGCGGCGAUCGGUGCCGGCGGCUCCUGGCACGGGCGGGACAAUGGCCCGGGGGAUGGGGGGGGUCUGUGUGACAUCUGCGAGCCUGUGACAGCUCCGCGACACCGGGGCUGCCACACGCGUGUCCCCGCGGGGAAUCCCAAAAUCCCGCUGCGGGAAGGGUGGGAAAAGCCCUCCGGAGGUGUCGCGGCUCUGCCUCGAGCUGAGCCGGGAUUUGUGUUUAGUUCGUGGCCAAAAAUUCCUCCUCCUGCCCAGGGCACCAUCCUGGCACCCCCGGGGACAGAUCUGUGGGGCUGGAUGGGGUUUUUGUGUGGAUGGAUGGGAUCCAUACUCAGAUGAGAGAUUUGUGCGGAUAUUUGGGACAUUUGGGUGGGUAUCUGGGGGGUUUGGGUGGGUAUUUGAGGGGUUUCUGUGGAUAUUUGGGAUAUUUGGGGGGCUUAUGUGGAUAUUUGGGAUAUUUGGGUGGGUAUUUGAGGGAUUUGUGUGGGUAUUUGGGAUAUUUGGGGGGUUUAUGUGGAUAUUUGGGAUAUUUGGGUGGGUAUUUGAGGGGUUUGUGUGGACAUUUGGGAAUAUUUGGGUGGGUAUAUGUGGUUUUCUGCAGAUACUUGGGAUACUUGGGUGUGAAUUUGGGGGCGGGGUUGUGUGGAUAAUUGGGAAU